GCUAGCACGCUUCCUGUUUCGUAACUCUUCAACGUGGUUGUUACCAAACACAAAUCUAGCAACUACAAGCAUCGGUUGAGCGGAAUAAAAGACGUUUUCAGAAAUGGGUCAGAGAUGCAUCCACUGGUUCCGUAAAGGGCUGCGGCUGCACGACAACCCGGCGCUGAUGGACUCUGAGGGACUGCACAGAGCUCUAUCCGGUGUUCAUCCUCGAUCCACAUCUCUUUGACAAGAAAUGGGUGGGCAUCAACCGCUGGCGGUUCCUGCUGGGGGCGCUCAAAGACUUGGACUGCAGCCUCAGACUGCUCAACUCUAGGUUGUUUGUUGUGAGAGGCAAGCCGGAAGACAUGUUCCCCAAACUGUUCACAAAGUGGAAAAUAACAAAGCUGACCUACGAGUUUGACGCAGAGCCUUACAGCGUAUCCCGUGACCAGAAGGUGGCCGCACUAGCCAAAGAACAUGGGGUGGAAGUCGUGUAUAAAGUGUCCCACACGCUUUAUGACAUACACCAAAUAAUCGAGGAAAAUAAUGGGAAAGCCCCCCUCACUUACAACCGC